GGACACCCCGCCCGACGCGCGGCCGGUUACCUUCUUCGUAGCCCCACUCCACCCCCUCCUCCUCUUCCUCUUCAUCCUCCUCCUUCUCCGGGAAGGCGACGGAAUCUUCGAUGAAGCUCAGCACUGCUCUGAGUUUAGGCAUUCCAUCCAACAUCACUAGAUUGCAGAUUCUCUCAGAUGGAAGAGUAGGAAAAUAACGAAAGUUGCCCCUGACUCAAAAUCUUCCUUGAAAAAUGAUGGCAAGAAAACGGACUCAUUUGACUUAUCAUGCAGCUCCAUAGGCCCAAGAGAUGCAAUAAUGUAACAGACAAGAUCUUUUAAGGAAAUUUUAUCCAACAUUCUUAAUUGGAAGGCAUUUGAGAGGAGCACAGAGAAACCAAGUGCCCAGGUUUCCUGAUACCAGUUCUGCAAAUCCUUGCUACGCUACGCACCAAGGGACCUGCCAUCUUCAUAAAGUUGAUGUCUUCCACAAAAACAAAACGACACAAAACAAGAAACCGGCACAGAGUAUGUUCUGUGUAUCUAUGACAGAACACCGAAGCACCCUCUCUUUGGGCAGGCUGACCUCCUCGUGGCGAAUACAGUUUGGGGAGGACGGAGAUAACAGCCGAUUAGAACAGACCACGCAGCCAGAUCAGGCACAUACCCAGGCCAGCUGUCCAGGCCUUGCCGACAACCUUCUAUAGCCUCACCUCUAAAUAAACAUGUAACAAAUAUCUCAUGGAUAUCCAUUUGAAAGGUCAGCAAAUGAUUAGCCUGCCCAGAGGGCCCACAUGUUUCCAUCCAGCCCUGCGUGAUUUGAGACCAUUUCCUGCACCAGGGUGCCAAAAGAGAAAUGGGAUGCGAUUUCAACUAGCCAUUUGAGAAAUUCUAAUCAAACCUUCCAGAGGCUUUAACCAAAUAAACCAAUCCAAUGUGUAUUUUAAAAAUGGUCUGAGAACGUAAAGGCCAAGGAAAGGGAAUGGGAGACAGAACAGAGUAGGGAUAUAGACAUAACAUAGAACAGCCGGAUAAGAAAUGGAAGUUUUAAUCAAGUAACUGCUGUUUUGUACAACUGGUUUGGUUAGCAUUUACUAACAGAUGAGACUUGCCUUUGCUGGAUUGAUGUGAAUAGACUGUUUCCUUCUUGGUCGGGCAGACGUGAUAUGCAGAGGAAGCAAAGUCAUAAUUUACUUGUAAGAGGAGUUACAUCAGCAUCGUGAUGGCAAAAGAUGUCCCUCAUUUUUGUCGCCCCGACAGCAAAAGUUCAGCAUCCAUGGGCAAGGGUGUGUUUGCGGUAACUGUGGCAUCCAACACCACCUGCUAAGGGAUCCAGGACAAGUCUCACCUAUCAGUUCAUCAGGCAAUAGACAGACGGACCUUGGUCCUAGCUGUGGAUCCUGUAAUGGCACCUUAACUGGCUUCAGCCCCUCUUCACUGUGGUCCAGAAGCUCCUGGAGAACACUGACUUAGGCAAUUGCCUGUGCACGAGAGAGCCUUUGGGGAAGUCCAGGAUUACAGAGAAGAAGUGCCAGCACACUGCUGCAGCAAAAAACCAAUUUGGCUGCCUUCGAGAUGGCAGUAAAGACUGGAGGAGAUGACGCGAGGAUAGCCACGCAGAAGUUCAAGGAACAGGAACAAUCAAGGUCACGUAACACCGCCAGAAGCUCGUAAUAAGCUUCCUGUAAGCAAACUGAACACAUGAGGACCUGCAGUUUACCAGACAAAUCAAAAUAGCAGCUUUAAGGAAAUUCAGUAAGCUAUAAGAAAACAAAGCCAAAUUGGUACAGAAACUGUGACACAGAGUGGAGGUUCCUCAAAAAUUUUUAAUGUAGAACUACUAUAUGAUUCUUCAAUCCCAUUUCUGUGUAUGGAUCCAAAGGAAAUGGAAACAAGAUCUUGACAAAAUACCUUCACUUCCAUGUCAGUUCAGCAGUAUGCACGGUAGCCAGGAUAUGGAACAACCUAAGUGUCCGUCAACACACAAAUGGAUAAAGAAGAUGCGAUGUGUCGCAUUAUUACGUUGUGCUGUAAUGAAAUAUAUAACGGGAUAUUAUUCGGCCACAGGAAGGAAGGAAAUCCUGCCAUUUGCGACCAUAUGGAUGGACCUUGAGGGCAUGAGGCUGAAUAAGAUAAAUCAGAGAAAGACAAAGCCUGUACGGUAUCACUUCUAUGUGGAACCUAAAACUACUGAACUCAUAGAAACAGAGUAGAAGGGUGGUUACCAGUGGCUGAGCAGUGGGGGAAAUGGAGAAAUGUUGGUCAAAGGGUACAAACUUCCAGCUAUACGAUGAUGUCCACGCAUCAGGAAUGGGGCAGGACGUGUUGGACAUGCCUUUCCUCUGCAAUGCCUGCGGCCUCAGGUGGAACACUCAAAGUCUGGAGGCAGAAAUCACCAGAAGAUUUACUCACAUACAUCUAGUGGUUGAUUCUGGCCUUGGGUCACAGAUCUGGCCAGUCCCAGGCUUCCUUACAUCAUAGCUCUGGAU